GUGAAUUUGAAGACCCAUAUUCAAUGGGCUUCACACCUUCACAUCCAAACACUGUGCACUGUCUGGGUGAACGUGCUCCCUCGUGGAGUGUCUACUAGCCCCCUUUUUUCUCUACAAACACAAGUCAAUGUAUGUUUACUAUUAUAAUCUUGUA
rnacentral:misc_RNA from 1 species